AUUGAACGCUGGCGGCAGGCCUAACACAUGCAAGUCGAGCGGAUGAAGGUAGCUUGCUCCUGGAUUCAGCGGCGGACGGGUGAGUAAUGCCUAGGAAUCUGCCUGGUAGUGGGGGAUAACGUCCGGAAACGGGCGCUAAUACCGCAUACGUCCUGAGGGAGAAAGUGGGGGAUCUUCGGACCUCACGCUCUCAGAUGAGCCUAGAUCGGAUUAGCUAGUUGGUGGGGUAAAGUCCUACCAAGGCGACGAUCCGUAACUGGUCUGAGAGGAUGAUCAGUCACACUGGAACUGAGACACGGUCCAGACUCCUACGGGAGGCAGCAGUGGGGAAUAUUGGACAAUGGGCGAAAGCCUGAUCCAGACAUGCCGCGUGUGUGAAGAAGGUCUUCGGAUUGUAAAGCACUUUAAGUUGGGAGGAAGGGCAGUAAGUUAAUACCUUGCUGUUUUGACGUUACAAACAGAAUAAGCACCGGCUAACUUCGUG
rnacentral:rRNA from 1 species